GACAGAGGGUGCAAACGUUGUUCGGAAUUACUGGGCGUAAAGCGCGUGUAGGCGGCUAAGUAAGUCGGGCGUGAAAUCCCACGGCUCAACCGUGGAAGUGCACUCGAAACUGCAUAGCUAGAGUCCUGGAGAGGAAGGUGGAAUGCUUGGUGUAGAGGUGAAAUUCGUAGAUAUCAAGCGGAACACCGGUGGCGAAGGCGGAUCUCUGGGCCUAACUGACGCUGAGGAGCGAAAGCAUGGGGAGCGAACAGG
rnacentral:rRNA from 1 species